CCCGUUCUCCAGUCCCGGCUGACAGAGUUAGCUGAGGCCGCCAUAUUGAAUAGGCGAUCCGGCUUUGGAGGGGGGGUCGUUGUGGUCUAGACAGUUCAUCAGGGGAGCCUCGGCGGCUCCGGCGAGAAGCAAUAUGUUAAGGAUACCUGUAAGAAGGGCCUUAAUAGGCCUUUCUAAGUCUCCCAAAGGAUGUGUUCGAACAGCUGCAACAGCAGCAAGCAACUUGAUUGAAGUGUUUGUUGAUGGUCAGUCUGUCAUGGUGGAACCAGGAACUACUGUCCUCCAGGCUUGUGAGAAAGUUGGCAUGCAGAUCCCCCGAUUCUGUUAUCAUGAAAGGUUGUCUGUUGCUGGAAACUGCAGGAUGUGCCUUGUUGAAAUUGAGAAAGCUCCUAAGGUUGUAGCUGCCUGUGCCAUGCCAGUAAUGAAGGGUUGGAAUAUCUUGACAAACUCAGAAAAAUCCAAGAAAGCCAGAGAAGGUGUGAUGGAGUUCUUAUUAGCAAAUCACCCACUGGACUGCCCUAUUUGUGACCAGGGAGGUGAAUGUGAUCUGCAAGACCAGUCCAUGAUGUUUGGAAGUGAUAGGAGUCGAUUUUUAGAAGGAAAACGUGCUGUGGAGGACAAGAACAUUGGGCCAUUGGUAAAGACCAUCAUGACUAGAUGUAUACAGUGCACUCGCUGCAUCAGGUUUGCAAGUGAGAUUGCAGGAGUAGAUGAUUUGGGAACUACAGGCAGAGGAAAUGAUAUGCAAGUUGGCACCUAUAUUGAAAAGAUGUUCAUGUCCGAACUGUCUGGGAAUAUCAUUGAUAUCUGCCCUGUAGGUGCCCUAACCUCUAAGCCUUACGCCUUUACUGCCCGGCCUUGGGAAACAAGAAAGACAGAAUCCAUUGAUGUAAUGGAUGCAGUAGGAAGUAAUAUCGUGGUUAGCACAAGAACUGGAGAAGUAAUGAGAAUCUUGCCACGUAUGCAUGAAGACAUCAAUGAAGAGUGGAUCUCUGAUAAAACCAGAUUUGCCUAUGAUGGGCUAAAACGUCAGAGACUUACAGAGCCGAUGGUCAGAAACGAAAAGGGGCUUUUAACCUAUACCUCCUGGGAGGAUGCACUCUCUCGUGUAGCUGGAAUGUUGCAGAGUUUUCAAGGCAAGGAUGUGGCAGCAAUUGCAGGUGGCCUGGUGGAUGCUGAAGCCCUAGUAGCUCUCAAAGAUUUGCUUAAUAGAGUGGACUCUGACACCUUAUGCACUGAAGAGGUCUUCCCCACUGCAGGAGCUGGCACAGAUUUACGUUCCAAUUAUCUUCUUAAUACUACAAUUGCUGGCAUGGAAGAGGCUGAUGUUGUCCUUCUGGUUGGUACGAAUCCACGUUUUGAGGCACCACUAUUUAAUGCUAGAAUUCGAAAGAGCUGGCUUCAUAAUGACUUAAAAGUGGCCCUUAUAGGUAGUCCAGUGGACCUCACUUACACAUAUGACCACCUGGGAGACUCCCCCAAAAUUCUACAAGACAUUGCUUCGGAUAGCCAUUCAUUUAGCCAGGUCCUAAAGGAAGCUAAAAAACCAAUGGUGGUUUUAGGCAGUUCUGCACUCCAAAGAAAUGAUGGAGCAGCAAUUCUUGCAGCUGUUUCCAGCAUUGCACAAAAGAUUCGGAUGACUAGUGGUGUUACUGAAGAUUGGAAAGUUAUGAAUAUCCUUCAUAGGAUUGCAAGUCAAGUAGCUGCUUUGGAUCUUGGCUAUAAACCUGGAGUGGAAGCAAUUCGCAAGAACCCUCCCAAAGUGCUGUUUCUCCUGGGAGCAGAUGGAGGUUGUAUCACACGACAGGAUUUGCCCAAGGAUUGUUUUAUUAUUUAUCAAGGACAUCAUGGUGAUGUUGGAGCACCCAUAGCUGAUGUUAUUCUCCCAGGAGCUGCUUAUACAGAGAAAUCUGCUACUUAUGUCAAUACGGAGGGCAGAGCUCAGCAGACUAAAGUAGCAGUAACACCUCCCGGCUUGGCAAGAGAAGACUGGAAAAUUAUAAGAGCCCUGUCUGAGAUUGUGGGUAUAACUCUUCCAUAUGAUACUCUGGAUCAAGUGAGAAACAGAUUGGAAGAAGUCUCUCCUAAUCUUGUUCGAUAUGAUGAUGUUGAAGGAGCUAAUUACUUCCAGCAAGCAAAUGAGCUCUCCAAGCUAGUGAACCAGCAACUUCUUGCUGACCCACUUGUUCCACCUCAGCUAACUAUAAAAGACUUCUACAUGACAGAUUCAAUUAGCAGAGCCUCACAGACAAUGGCCAAGUGUGUCAAAGCUGUCACAGAGGGUGCGCAUGCAGUAGAAGAGCCAUCCAUUUGCUGAAACAGCUACUAGGAACUGGGUUUUGCUACAAAUGGUUAACGGACAGUUAAAUUGGAGUGAUCUCUUACAGGUUUAGCUCUUCUUAAAAACAAAAUCUGAAUAAUGUAAUAUUUAAGGUUAUACUAUGCUUAUUUGAAAAUGAUAUUGCAGUUAUCAAAGAACUUUGCAGUUUCAAAAGCAUUUAUGUAUUGUGUGCAAACGUUGUUAAAUAGUCUAAUAAAACUGUAUGUAGAUGCUCUUUCAUGUAAAAGUAUUGAUAAUGUUUGUGACAAAUACAAAGAAAUCCUUAAAAUAUAAAUGUUUUGUUUAUCAUCAUAAAUUAUUUAUGUUUAUCAAAUGGAUGAAAUGAAAAACUUCCUUUAAGACCCACUUUUUUAUAGUGCUAAAGAAAAGAUUUAAGCACUAUCAGGGUGGGUAAAUAGAAAAAUAUAUAAUGUAAUCACACAUCAGAUAUGUAUCUUGGACAAUGAUAAUUAAUAGUAAUCAUAACAUUAGCUAAUGAUUAUUCAGCUUUUUUUUGUGCUAAGCACUCUGAUUUUCCAUGUAUUAUUUUCUUUUGUCCUGGCUAUAAUUCUAUGAGAUAGUAUUAUUAUCUAAUUUCACUGAUGAAAAAACUGAAGCCCGGGCAUAUUAAGUAGCUUGCCCAAGGCUGCACAGCACAAGUCAUAGAUGCAAGCCUAGUUCUUUUACUCCGAAGUCUAUUCUUAACUGCUACACAUAAUUCCUUUUAAUUAGUACAGAUUCUAUAGAUUGUUACUUCUAAGAAUUAGUAUUGAAGAGUUUAAUGGUUAACACAUUCUUCUGUUUUCUCUUGAAUUUGCUUCUAUAAUGUCAUGGUGAUUUAUGUGGCAUUUUUCUUUGUAUAACAGAUUAUGCACUUAAACACACUCUUGGAAUGAGGGAGGUCUCAAGAGAUAUAAUUAAGAUUCUCAUUGAUGUUCUGUAUUCAUUAUAUUAACACCAUCUGUAGUGUUAAAUCAAAUAAAUUAUUCCAGUAAUAGAAGACAAAACUACUAGCUUUAAUAAUUUUCAAAUGUCAAAACAAAAAGGAAGUAAAAAUUUUACAAUUAACCUAGGGGAUAAUUAAAGGUAGAUUAAGUUUUUGUUUAAAUCUAUGUUCAAAAUUUUUUUGUUUUGUAAGCCUUUUUUCUUUCUACUUUCACUAAAGAUUUAUCCUAACUAUAGGAUGCCAUUUUUAAUAUAAAAUAGGAUAAGAUUUUUAGAAUAGUAUUUCAUCAAUGCUUUAUCUUUAAAAAUUGUAUAAAAUUUGUCACCUGUAACAACUUUUUCAGAAGAGUUUAUUUUAUCCUCCUUAGUGAUACAUCAUGAAAUUAUGUACUUUGCUUAAAGUACUUGGCAUAAAAUUCCUAGUUGUACAAGAUUGUGUAAAUUCUUGCCCAAAGUGUUUGAAUUUAAUACAGACUUAUUCCUCUCUACUUUCUUCACCCCUUAGCACUGUGCUGACCUCAAGGGGACAUACUCCAAGUUUUGUAUUUUACACAGUACUCUUCAGUGAACAUGUGCAGACUUCAUAGGGUUCUUGGUGAAAGCUAAGUUGAUCCAGGAUCUUUGGGCUACCCUCUAGGCAGCAUGUGUUGAACAGCUUGUAAUUCUCUAAAGGAUACUUUGAGAACCAUCUUUGGUGACAGCAAAACUCAGGAAACAAUGUUAGUCAAUUAAUAGCUGCCAAGUUACCCAGAGGAGCAGAUGGUAUAACUGAUCAUGUCCUACAAGAUGAAGAAAGGGAAUACUCAAUGACAUUUGCUCAAAUAUGCUAAAGUUUCCACACAAAAGGCAAUAAUGGCAACCAUAUUUUUUUCCCUC